rnacentral:rRNA from 1 species
CACGUAGGGCGCAAGCGUUGUCCGGAAUUAUUGGGCGUAAAGAGCUCGUAGGCGGUCUGUUACGUCUGCUGUGAAAACCCGGGGCUUAACCCUGGGCUUGCAGUGGAUACGGGCAGACUAGAGGCAGGUAGGGGAGAAUGGAAUUCCCGGUGUAGCGGUGAAAUGCGCAGAUAUCGGGAGGAACACCGGUGGCGAAGGCGGUUCUCUGGGCCUGGCCUGACGCUGAGGAGCGAAAGCGUGGGGAGCGAACAGG